UUCAAUACACACCUCAAUGGUAUUGAACAAGCUCUAUUUAGGCAAAUUACCUUACCUUAUUCUUCCUCAGUUUCCUCACUGUCCAGUGGAGGAAGUUAAUCUUCAUAGGGAUUAAGAGAGAUUGACUCAAGAUCAUCAAACCCCAAAGUGGCAGAGAUUGAUGGGGAUUUUGAUUCAAAUGUGUAUGAUUUCACCACCCCUCACAACUUUCCUGAAAACUUAAGUUACUACGUAAUAAAAAAGGUUAACAGGAGUGAAAGUACUCACACAAUCUCAUAAAAAAACAUAAAUACUAAUGAAUCAUCCAAGUCCAGCGCAAAAUGGUCUCAUCUUUAAACUUAGAUUCUUUAAAUGUCAGUUUCCACUUCAAGAACCAUCGCUGGGUAGGUUCCCAGACAAACAGAGCUGAAGAACUAGAAUUGCUUUGAAAGUAUAUGCACUUCACAACCUGUACUACCUGUGGAAUGCUCCUGUGUAGAGCAUCCCUCUAAUCUUUUGACAUGACAUGUACCCUGCUGUAGGUAGUCUGAGCUGCGAUUCACAGUUGUUAUUUGUACUUAUGUCUGGCUGAAUGGUAACUGGGAAAUAAAAAUCCAAACUAUCUACAGUGUACAUGUGUGUGGUUGUGUGAUUCUCAGUAUAGAAGGUGGGUAGCAAUGGGUUAAGGAUCAUGACUGGCUGUGGAUUUACCUGGGGAGAAAUAGGUUUUUAAGGAUGAUGAGCAAGCAAUUUUAUCCAUGUGAUCAAUUUUAUUUUAUUUUAUUUCUCUUCUUAUUCUUCCAUUGUCCCUGAAUUAAAAUAUUUUCCUUUCUAAUGGAUAAUUCUCCUGCCAUUUUAUUUUGGACUGAUAAAAAUCCACUUGCUUCCUUUAU
rnacentral:lncRNA from 1 species